rnacentral:rRNA from 1 species
CCUACGGGUGGCAGCAGUGGGGGAUAUUGCACAAUGGGGGGAACCCUGAUGCAGCGACGCCGCGUGGGUGAAGGAGUGCUUCGGCAUGUAAAGCCCUAUCGGCAGGGAAGAAGCAAGACGGUACCUUACUAAGAAGCCCCGGCUAACUACGUGCCAGCAGCCGCGGUCAUACGUAGGGGGCGAGCGUUAUCCGGAUUCACUGGGUGUAAAGGGAGCGUAGACGGCCAUGCAGGCCAGGGGUGAAAGCCCCGGGCCCAACCCCGGGACUGCCCUUGAAACUGUGCGGCUAGAGUGCGGGAGGGGCAGGCGGAAUUCCUGGUGUAGCGGUGAAAUGCGUAGAUAUCAGGAGGAACACCGGCGGCGAAGGCAGCCUGCUGGACCGCGACUGACGUUGAGGCUCGAAAGCGUGGGGAGCGAACAGGAUUAGAUACCCCGGUAGUC